CUGCUGCCUUCCGUAGGAGUCUGGUCCGUGUCUCAGUACCAGUGUGGGGGACCUUCCUCUCAGAACCCCUACGCAUCGUCGGUUAGGUGGGCCGUUACCCCGCCUACUGCCUAAUGCGCCGCAUGCCCAUCCCUGUCCGGCCGAAGCCUUUCCUGCCUCCGGGAUGCCCCGGUGGCAUGUACGCGGGUUUAGCCCCGCCUUUCGGCGGGUUGUCCCCCUGACAGGGGCAGGUUGCAUACGUGUUACUCACCCGUGCGCCGGUCGCCGGCGGAGAAAG
rnacentral:rRNA from 1 species